rnacentral:rRNA from 1 species
CUGGCAUUUACUGACGCUGAGGCUCGAAAGUAUGGGAGCAAACAGAUAGAUACUGGUAGUCCAUACCGUAAACGAUGAUUACUAGGUGUGGGGGGAUAGACUCUUCCGUGCCGCAGUUAACACAAUAAGUAAUCCACUGGGGAGUACGACCGCAAGGUUGAAACUCAAAGGAAUUGACGGGGGCCCGCACAAGCAGUGGAGUAUGUGGUUUAAUUCGACGCAACGCGAAGAACCUUACCAGGUCUUGACAUCGAGUGCAUAACCUAGAGAUAGGGAAGUCCUUCGGGACACUCAGACAGGUGGUGCAUGGUUGUCGUCAGCUCGUGUCGUGAGAUGUUGGGUUAAGUCCCGCAACGAGCGCAACCCUUAUCGUUAGUUACUACGCAAGAGGACUCUAGCGAGACUGCCGUUGACAAAACGGAGGAAGGUGGGGAUGACGUCAAAUCAUCAUGCCCUUUAUGACCUGGGCUACACACGUACUACAAUGGCCAUCACAGAGGGAAGCGAAGCCGCGAGGUGGAGCAAAUCCCAGAAAAAUGGUCUCAGUUCGGAUUGGAGGCUGCAACUCGCCUCCAUGAAGCCGGAAUUGCUAGUAAUCGCGGAUCAGCAUGCCGCGGUGAAUACGUUCCCGGGCCUUGUACACACCGCCCGUCACACCAUGAGAGCCGGGGGGACCCGAAGUCGGUAGUCUAACCGCAAGGAGGACGCCGCCGAAGGUAAAACUGGUGAUUGGGGUGAAGUCGUAACAAGGUAACCA